ACUUGAGAUUAACCCAUUUGGUGAUGGUACCGGCAGUGUCCUCCUAAACUCGGGACAAAGUCCCAUGCACCCAGCCACAGUGCUGCAGCCCCUGGUCACAGCAUUUCACUGUGUCCUCUGUGAGGGUGCGAUUGCCGCUGCCACUGACUCAAGCCUCAGAGAGCAGGGACUGGUGUCCUCAGAGCCACCCCGUUCCAGAAUGCCACAGGCCCGUCUUUUACUCAGGAGACCACACUGACGGACAUGGUGUUCCAAGCAGACUCCUCGGGCUGUGGCGUGCAGGAGGCAUGGGCGAGAGCCAGGAGAAAGGCUGUCAGAGCUGGAAGGACAGCCUGGCGGGGGCAGAGCCAGGAGACUCUGGGGAGAUGCCGUGUGGGUGGAAGGAGUGUUUCCGUUUGCAGGCCCCAGGUGAAGUCAGACUCGGUAGAGAAGAGCACAGAGAUCCGUUGACCUCCCGCAACCCUGGAAGGACAAUACAGUCUUAAAGAGUGACAGCCUUGAAGGGCAAUGGCACAGAAGAAGCCAAGGAGAACUGGCGGGCUCUCAUCUCCUCAGAUGGCUCCGACUCCACACACAUGCUUCUUAGGUCUCAGCUCCUCUUCACGCACCACACGAGCCUCCACGCUCUGCAAGAAAACUCGCCACCCCCUUCCCAGAAAAAAAAGAAGACACAUCACACAUUCAGGCGUUUCUUCCUCUCCACUGGACAUACUGAUGCCAAUGAAAUAUGGCCUUUAUUUGUCUUUGA